GUGCUGAACUUUGAAAACUAAUAUUGCUUUAUGUGUUGCUAUUCAUUAAUUCUGUCCUCCAUUCAGCUGCUGCUAUGGUCUGGCUGUUGGUUUUGGACAUACAAGGUGAAAAAGUCGCCUUAUUCUUGGGAAGAUGCUUCUUAUCACACACAAAGCUCCCUUGGUCUUCCUGAUGACAGAUGGAGAAGUAUAGAUGAAGCAACAAAGGAAGAUCUUGUGCUAAGCUUAUGGGAGAAGUCAAAUAUGAAGAGCUACAUGACAGAGAUGCGGAAAGAAUCAAAGCGCAGAAGAUAGCUGCUACAGUUGCUUCACCUGCUGUUUUCAAAGGGCAAAAUUUUGUUUUACUUUUGAAAUUGAUCUGAAUUACAACGUGAUAGUUAAAAUUAUACUUCAAAAUUAUUUAUUAUGGGUAGCUUUAUUAAUAUUUUUGGGAGGGAGGAGAGUAAAAUCGUUCUGGUCAAAUACAAAAUCUUAUAUUUAUAAACAAGAUGUACUAAGUUAGCACAUGAAGUUUAAAUAGGCUGGCACUUUGACUGUCUGUAAACGAAAACCAAAGGAAACUGGUUUAGGUAUUGCUACAUUCUUUUAAUAUAGGUACUUAACCUCAGUCUUGCAGCAGUUGAAUGUUUGGCAGUGGUUUUGUGCACCUGUUGUUCAAUAAGUAUGAGAAGUUUUAGCAGAAUGCGGCAUGUUCUAGCAGAGUUAUGAACUGUGUGAAGUACUUUUGCUUUUCAUUAUUGUUUAGUUUGGUGCAUAACAAAUUUCAAUUUGGAAUAA